rnacentral:rRNA from 1 species
UACGUAGGGUGCAAGCGUUAAUCGGAAUUACUGGGCGUAAAGGGUGCGUAGGCGGGUCUUUAAGUCAGGGGUGAAAUCCUGGAGCUCAACUCCAGAACUGCCUUUGAUACUGAGGAUCUUGAGUUCGGGAGAGGUGAGUGGAACUGCGAGUGUAGAGGUGAAAUUCGUAGAUAUUCGCAAGAACACCAGUGGCGAAGGCGGCUCACUGGCCCGAUACUGACGCUGAGGCGCGAAAGCGUGGGGAGCAAACAGG